rnacentral:rRNA from 1 species
GUGGAUUAGAUACCCUGGUAGUCCACGCCCUAAACGAUGUCAACUAGGUGUUGGGUGGGUAAAACCAUUUAGUACCGUAGCUAACGCGUGAAGUUGACCGCCUGGGGAGUACGGCCGCAAGGUUAAAACUCAAAGGAAUUGACGGGGACCCGCACAAGCGGUGGAUGAUGUGGAUUAAUUCGAUGCAACGCGAAAAACCUUACCUACCCUUGACAUGUCUGGAAGGCCGAAGAGAUUUGGCUGUGCCCGAAAGGGAACUGGAACACAGGUGCUGCAUGGCUGUCGACCGCU